UACGGGGGGUGCGAGCGUUGUUCGGAUUUACUGGGCGUAGAGGGCGCGUAGGCGGCCACCGCAAGUCGACUGUGAAAUCUCCGGGCUUAACCCGGAAAGGUCAGCCGAUACUGCGGGGCUAGAGUGCAGAAGGGGCAACUGGAAUUCUCGGUGUAGCGGUGAAAUGCGUAGAUAUCGAGAGGAACACCUGCGGCGAAGGCGGGUUGCUGGGCUGACACUGACGCUGAUGUGCGAAAGCUAGGGGAGCGAACGGG
rnacentral:rRNA from 1 species